AUUGAGUACUAACGUACUGAUGCUGUUUGUGUGUGUGCAUAUCAAAACACAUUCCAUGGAUUUAUUGUGAUGGUUAUUAUUUGAGCAUCUACCAAUGUAAGGUAUAUGUUUACUUGUGCAUGUUGGAUGGAUCGGGCGGCAAAUUUGAGAACAAAAUUCAGGUUAUUUUUAAUAUGGGUUAGGCUGUGUUGCUUGUAAUCAGUUCUAAGCACAUGGAAUGAAAUUACCAAAUUUUCACACUCUCAAACUUUACAAGGUGGUAAUUGCUUAUAGAUGUGUCUGAAUUUUCUGAGAAGCAAACCUUUUUUAUGGUAUUAAUGCAGAAACAUGGGAAAGACUUCUGAUAGAAAGAAAAAUGUCAAAUACAAGGACAAGAAGUGUUGCUUUUCAAAGUCAAUGAGACGGUCAGCAAGUCACUCUUCAUCAGAGUCAGAUGAGAGUUCAAAAAUCCACCACAGUAAGUCCAGAGUGCAUAAGAACCGACACCAUCGUUCUAGAUCGCCAGUAGAGAAGAAAUCUGAGGAUGCUCACUCCAUAGGAUAUUAUGAAAAACAACGUAUUACUAAGGGAGACAGAGGAGUUUUGGAGACAGACAGGAAAAGGCAGAGUUCGUUUGAUUAUGAAAAUAAAGAAGAAUCACAUAAGUCGUGUCACAGUAGGGAUGAGGGUGAUCAGCCUGAAUUCAGUUUCCAGAUGUAUUCUUAUGAACUGAGAGUUCUCCUUAGAGAUGAAGAUUUAAUACCAGAACCAGAAGAUUUCUGGAAGUUCUUGAAAAAUUAUGAAACUGUUCAAAAGAGAGCAGGAGCGAGGAAACAUGAUUUAGGAUCUGCUGAUACAAGUGCUAAUCCUAAUUCACUGGAUAUACCUUCGGUGUAUGACAAGUCUCACCUCGUAAGCAUUUCCCUCAGAGCAAGCUUGGAACAGUUGGCAUCCCAGUUAUCACCAAGUUGUCGUUUGUCUCAACAACGAUUGUCAGAAUUUCAAGAUAUAUUAUUACUGUACUUGGACUUCAAACAGAAAGAAAAGUUUACCAAACUUCUUAAACUACGCCAGAGUCAAACAAAUUUGCCUAUUGCACAAUACAAAGAGCAGAUUGUAGCAGCAAUAAGAAAUGAGAAUGUAGUAAUAAUAGCUGGAGAUACAGGUUGUGGGAAAUCAACUCAGGUACCACAAUAUCUUCUGGAAGCUGGCUAUAAAGGAAUUGCAUGUACACAACCUCGUCGAAUUGCCUGCAUCUCGUUAUGCAAACGUGUUGCAUUUGAGACACUGAAUGAAUAUGGUUCACAAGUGGGUUACCAGAUUCGUUUUGAAAAAAGCAAAACACAACAUACAAGAAUUGUGUUCAUCACUGAGGGUCUACUUUUACGACAGGUCUCUACAGAUCCCUCGCUCUCUAAUUAUGAUGUGCUGGUGUUGGAUGAGAUACACGAACGCCACCUGUUUGGUGACUUCCUCCUUGGUAUUGUUAAAUGUCUCCUGUUUCAACGCUCUGACCUCAAAGUGGUUCUGAUGUCAGCAACUAUCAACAUAGAACUCUUUCGAGAUUACUUCUCAGUAGAAGCUACAGUAAUACAAGUUCCUGGGCGGUUGUACCCUAUCAAGCUGCAGUAUGUGCCAAUUUCACCUGAGGAGAAGUCAUCUAAGUCAGGGCGAUUGAAUCCAGCUCCGUAUGUACGCAUCAUGCAGCUAAUUGAUGAGAAGUAUCCAAGAAAUGAGAGGGGUGACUUACUUAUUUUCUUGAGUGGAAUGAGUGAAAUCUCCACAGUGGUUGAUGCUGCAAAAUGUUAUUCACAGCAGACUCAGGGCUGGAUUGUACUCCCUCUUCACAGUACCCUGUCUUUGGCAGAUCAAGAUAAGGUUUUUGACUACCCACCAGAUGGAGUUCGCAAGUGUAUAGUAUCAACUAAUAUAGCUGAAACAUCUGUCACAAUUGAUGGUAUACGCUUUGUUGUGGAUUCAGGAAAGGUGAAGGAGAUGAGCUAUGAUCCAAACUGCAAAAUGCAGAAACUCAAAGAAUUUUGGAUCAGUCAAGCCAGUGCAGAACAACGGAAAGGGAGAGCAGGUCGUACAGGUCCUGGUGUUUGCUACCGUUUGUUCUCUGAGGACGAAUACACAAACAUGGACCAGUACUCAACACCUGAGAUCAAGCGAGUGCCUCUUGAUUCACUCUUACUUCAGAUGGUUGCUAUGGGGCUUCCGGAUGCUCGAAAGUUUCCCUUUAUUGAACCACCACCACCUGAAAGUAUUGAAAAUUCUGUCUUGUCCUUAAAGGAGCAGGGUGCCCUUACUGAGAAUGAAAAACUAACAACAAUAGGCCAUAUGCUGUCUCGCUUGCCAGUUGACAUCUCCCUUGGAAAGAUGCUCAUCAUGGGAUCUCUCUUUCAUCAAGUGGAACCAGUGUUAUCCAUGGCUUCAGCCCUGAGUGUACAGACCCCUUUUACAAACAGAUCAUAUAGAGAUUUUCAUUGUGAGGCAGCUUGUAAAGAACUACAGUCUGAUCAUGGUGACCCAUUAACACUGCUCAGUGCCUUUCGUGAGUGGUUGGAGGAAAAAUCUAUGUCGUCAAAUGGUAGAUCAUCAUCUCGACAGUGGUGUCGUCGUAGAGGUCUUGAGGAGCACCGUUUCUAUGAAAUGAUUAAAUUAAGGCGUCAGUUUAAGGACCUGUUACAGGAUUCAGGACUCCUGCAAAGUGAAGCUUUGUCAAAUGAGAAUAUGACAAGUGCUGAGCGCUCAUUUCGUCACGGUGAAGUUAAAUUGUUACGUUCAAUGCGUCAGUCAUACAAAGAAGCUGAGCCUCGAAAGAAGCGAAUUCUCAAGCUAGAUAUAUGGGAGGUAGAAGGCGCAGAAGUUGAAGAGCCUGGUGAUAUUGAUAUCAAGGAUGUUGAGUUUAGACUGAGCAAUAACAGCAUGCAAGUACAGAACCUCUUGUCUGGAUCUACUGCCUGCAGUUACAAGGACCUUAUGAUGCUGAAACUUAUCCUAUGUAGUGGACUGUAUCCCCAGUUGGCAAUUGCUGAUGAAUUCAAUUACUGCAAGUCUGUUUCAGAGCAGUUAUUCCAUACUAGAGCAAAGCCAUAUAUAUCUCUACAUCCAAUGGGAUAUUUUGGAAAUCACCCACAAAUUCUUCAGCUUCAGGAAUCAGACAUUGAAGUGGUACAGAAGAGAGGGUUUAAUUCAAAGUUACCAGUUAGUUCAAAACAUCAGCUGCUAUGCUAUUUGUCACUGUUGGAAACAACAAAACCCUUCCUGGUGACUACAAUGCGGAUGCCUGCUGCUCAGACUUUGCUUCUCUUCUGUCAGUCCAUAGACACUAACUUUGACUUUUCAAAGUUAGUAUGUGACUCCUGGUUACAGCUGGAAUUCCCAUUGCCUGAAGCUGCUAUGUUAUUACUGUUGAAGGCUGCUUUACUGCGAAACAAAUGGGAGAAACUGCUUAAUUUGCGACUUGAAGUGACUUCACCGAGUAUUAACAAUAAGGAGAUGUCAUCUGCAGCAGCCAAGAAAUUGGAGCAAGAACUUUCAAGUGAACUGCCACAGUUUAUGCAUACUGAGAUUAUCUACACAUUGCGAAGAUUGCUGCCUGCUGACCUUAAGGUCAUGUAUGUCGGUUCUGGGGAAAAUGAGGAUCCUGUCACUCCCAACCCAUUUUGUUCAGAUUGGGAAUGUACACCACAUCAAGAGAAAGGCGGGGUCCGGGUUACUCGAUAUAUCACAUUCAACUGUCUUAAUGUAUUUGGUUCAUACCUGGAUGACUACAACGAUGAUUCUGAGAAAGAGUGGCACUGUCCACAUUGUAAUCUCAGUAUGAACUUUGGCUCUAUACAGAAGCUCCAACACAUGGAGACUUGUUCACCUCAAAAUCAACAAGGAACACAUGAAGAAGAAACAAGUACACAGAAGCCCAAUUCCCAGGCUUAUCAAUGUGCACAGUGCAACAAAACUCUGUUUCUCACACCAACAGAAAUUCUGAGACACAAGAAACAUCAUCAGUAACGGCAAGAACAUUUCUUUCACCAAGUUCCUGUGGUAUUAAUCAAGGCUAAAGUACUGCCCUCGAGAAACUUGGAGAAAUUCCAGGGUUGCAGUCGGAUAGUCAUAGUGAUCUGCAUUGGUUCUCAGCACAGACAACAGUAGACAACACGUAGCAUAUUCCCCUCUGCCACAGACCUGUUUCACACUGGACUAAAAGGGACAGCUAGGUGGUUGCCAACAUACGUGAAUGUACAGCAAACAAGCAACAUGAUAAAGAUCUGCACACCAACCAUCUUGUUAUCACUUUUCUUACUUCCAAAAUAUGGUUUGAAAACAAAUGUGGCUAAAAGAAUCUUACAGUUACUAUUUUCACUAUUAUUUACAAACUGUCAGUCACUAUAAACACAGUUAUUUACAUCCAGGUUGAAAUCACUGUCUGCAAGAAAUCCUUUUUUAUUCAACAAGGGACAUGGACAGACUUACUGCUCCUACUACCCCUGGCAUGCUGACAAUUUUAUUUUCAUAUCUGUAAUCUUACAUGCCAUCUAGACAGGGAAUAUUAGAACAUCUACAAGUCUACACUGUCUUAGUAAAACAGCCCAAGCAAUAAACAAAAAUUUGUUCAUUCCUGUUAAAAAUAAUAAGAAAUACAAAAGCUCGUAAUUCAAAGACUGAGUGUUGAAAUGAUGGUCUAAUGGAAGAGUGAGACAGGCAAAAUUUUAUGCCAUUGGCCCUCAACAUUUUAAACCAGAAUGUUAUUAAAAUUCUGUUACCUUGAGGGAGAAGUCACCUUCUAUUCUUUUAAUUGCAUCCUUCAUCUCCAAAACCUUCAAUUUAUAUUUUCGUUCUAUUAUCUCCUUAUACCUGUUUAACUGAAAUAAACAAUUUCAUAAGCAUUGCAAUUAAUAUGAUUAUCUCAGGAAUUUCAAAUUAAUUUUCAAUAUAUUCAUGCUGAACUUCAUAUGCUUAUUUGAAAUAAGCUUUAAAGUGACCAUGUCCUAGGUACAGUACAGUUUUGGGUUCUAGAAGUAUGGGGACUGGGAGAUUUUUCACCUGGCCCAUUCAGCAGUUCAUUUGAAGGAAAGUCAUAGGAAAGGGCGUGACCUUAAAAUUGGACACCAAAUACUGUGCAGUGUAUAUUCCAUUGUGUAAAAAUAAACAGAAGCCAAUUUAAGUAUUUUAAGCAAGUGUGUAAUCAGAUGAUACCAUGCCUGUCAUAAAUUAAUCUAAAGGCAUAAGAGUAAGUGAUAAAACAACAUCCACAAUUUUGGUUACAUUACAUUAUAACAAUAAAGGUAAAUAUAUGUGUGUAUAAAUUAUACUAUGUAUAGCAUAGUCAGUAGUUACAUCUUUAAGCUUAUGAUAUAUUAUAGUGGUGUUUCUAUAAAUACUUGGAGUUUGUUAAUGCUGUAGAUAAAAUAUAUAUUAUUCAAAUGUUGAAAUAUUAAAAGUUUGGGUAAAAAAUUUGUUACAUGUAGUCAGUAGUUGAAGUGUUAAAAUGUAAAUGUUGAAGUAAAGUUGUUGUUGAUUCUAUAAUGUAUGGGCAUAUGUACAACUGGUCCUGGUAUUAACAAACCUGAAAUUAUGUGGUAUGUAACUACUUGCAAGCAACGAGAGAUGUGAGGCAAGAAAAAAUCCAAAAUUUUGGAAGGGAAUGAAUUGAGAGGGAACAAAAUAGGGAAUAUUGAGAGGUAUAUGUAAUUCCACAUUAGCUAGUUGGUGUGACUGUUUUGUACAUUACCCUAUGUUGUUUAUGAUUAACUUUGCCUGUCUAGUCAAACAAUUCCGGGAAUGUACCUACCAGCAUUAAUUUACUGUGUAACUGCUGACUGUGUGUAUGGAAAAGCCUAUCCACAAGCAAUGAUCAACAUCCCCAUUUCCAUAGAAUUUAUAAUCAUCUGCUGGUUUAAUAACAUCUGUGUCCUCUUGUACUCCCACUGAAUCUAACUUACAUUUUGCUAAUUCCCUUAAUACUGUCUUCAAAGAGCCUGCCCUAUAGACUCCUAACAUUCCAGGACCACCCCUUGUUGGCUGUUGGUGACUUGUUCAUUCAAUAUAUUUGCAGCUACUCUCCAUAUCCAGAAAUCUUCUCCUCCGCAACCUGAGAACGCAUCAUGCUGUGGUGACAGAUACCUACUUUACAGAGUUGAUGUAGUGUAUGCCAUAAAAAUUACUUUUACUCAGAUUAAGAAAUAUUCAAAUUAAAAUAUCAUUUUUCAGUGUUACUUGCUUCAUUUCUUAAAGUAGGCAGUAUUAACUUCUUUGGUGAUGAAAAUCAAAUGUUUGUUUUACCCAUUUCAUCCUAGUUUUUCCCAUGAUUCACAAUUUCCAAGAAUAUACAGGCAACUCAGCACAUUCUUCCAAAAAAUAUAUUUUUAACUUAUUUCAAGAUGAUGUAGUAAUAAUCAGUAAAUUUGGUAGUUGCUGAAGUUGGAUCACAGAGUGUAACACCUACCAAAAUGGAUCCAGCCCAAUAAUGUUGUUGUAUAAACAUGCAUGCACUAAUUCAAGACUUUUUUAUGUAUUGGGGAAGGAAAAAAAAGUGUGCACACACAGAAAGCAGUUUAUUAUAUAAUGAAUGUUAUUAACUAUGUAAAGCUGUCAGUAGUGAAGUUAAUAAAAUUACUUUUAUGUUUCUUUGUAAAA